CAGUAAAAUUGAGUCAAAUACUUGAUUCCAAUAUGGAUUUCCUGCUAUAUAUUAAGAAUUAAGUAGAGAGCUGGUUGUAGCAGAUUUAUUUGUCAGAGCGAGAUCUUUAAAGACACACCUCACUGUGUGAUUCAUUUUUAUUAUUAGUUAUUUAUCCUCCACUACAUAAUCUUUUCAGGGAGAUAGCUAACAUGGUUUGAAUGUACAUUCAACCCUAGGAAAAUAAAACUCAUAGGACUCACCUUCCAUUUCCAUUCAUUCUUUCAUCUGUUAACCUCAAAUUUGUUUCAGUCUGUGUCAUCAGAUACAAUGAUGUCAUUCUUACACUUUAUUAUGUCAUUCGAUGUUUCUUUUCUGGAACUGAAUUCUGUUUGUUGCUGGAAAACACCAUGAAUUCAGAAAGAGUUUGGAAAAAAAUCUUUUGUAGUAACUAUCUGUAGUUAUAUUUUGUGACCAUGUCACACCAGAGCCAGCUUAUGUUCAUGUGUUCUUGAGAACAAAGCAAGUACUGAGAACAUCAUCACUGAUUUAUAGGUUAAGCCUAAGUGGUUUCUAGGCAAUGUCCUAAAGUUAUGAGAGCUGCUUUUUUGUACUACAUGACAAAACAAAGAGGGUUUAAGGAAGGAGCCUGAAGGAAGAUACUGCUACUCUAGGCAUUAUCGUAGUUGCUUAGUUAAGUCCCAGUAAAUAAGGAAAAGACUGAAAACCAUGCAUUUUAUCAGUCCUGCCAGUACAAAGCAAAGUGCUUGGGUGAAUCCAAGCCUCAAAACAUACUUUCUGGAGCUGAUCCACUAUUCUAAUGGAGACAGCAACUCUUAGGAGUGAAAAAAUGUGAUUAUUGGAGAAAUGACGCUGCAUUGUAAGCAGCACCCCUGAUUUAGCUGUCCUGGUGCACAGCAACACUGCCCCAAGCAGACAGACUUGGUCCAUGCACAUUAGAUGCUUCUUCCUCACUGAUUUCAGCCAUGCUUGACUGGAAAGCUGUUUCUUUCAAAAAAGCCUUUCUGACACAAAUAUGUACAUAUCUAUGUAUGCAUCUUAGAGAAAAGGCACCCUAAGGAGCUAAUUGUGAUCUUGGGACCAUAUACACAGGCAGAAGGCUUACCGUAGGCGCUUUGCUCUUUGAAAAAGUUUGUUCUUUUUUUGCUGUAGGCGUUGAUGACUAAACUAUUUGCAUUGAACAACAGCAAGACUGCAGAAAAAUUGCUAGAUACAAAAGAGAAUAUUAUGUUGUCAUUUUGUGGAAAAUCUGGCUUCUAACCUGCAGAAUGCAAUGAGAAUCUAGAUUGUGAAACAUCGUUGGAAUGAUCCUAAAUGUAGCCAUACAAGUUCACACACAGCUCUUACAAGUCAAAGAGUUAAAAUUAAGAAUAAACGCUAUCAAACAUAAUAAUGAGUAAUGGGUUGGAGGAAGCAGCAUAGGCGAUACAGUAAAGUGGCAUUUUCUGGUUUGAAUGUAAAUUCAAGAAAUCUAUCUUCAUAAGAGAUUGUUUUUGGAAGUUCAAUGUGUAUAUUUUGUUGUUAGAGCACCUAGUAUACUUGGAAGUCAUCCAUGGAACAUCCUGAUGACAAGUUUAUUUGUCUUGAUCUGCUUGUCUAAAGACUCCUUAAAGCUUCAGCUGAAUACAUUCUUCUGAAAAGAGGAAAGCAGUGCUGCUCUGUACUGGUAAAAAGAACAGUGUGUGUAUUGUCAUGCCUGGUGGUACUACAGGCUUCCUACAAUGAAAGAUACAGUCUGAGUUUGGGGAAGCCUGUGUAUCCUAAGAUGUAGAUAUAAAAGUUGUCCAGCAGGAGGACAUAAAUAGGGACCAGGAUUUCGGGAAAAGAUCAAUUUGUCUGGUGGUCCUGCAGGAUAAGUUGCAGCAAAGAGACAGCUUCACUGCAGCAAGGAGGAAAGAGUUGCAGUCUAUGAUAAGCUGCAAAGGAAAGAAAUGUACAUGGUCUUGCUGAGGUCUAUGAGACCUCAGAGACCUGAGAGACAAGAGGGAGGGUAGGAGAAUAAACAGGAUUUUAUUGAAAACCUACUCAGUACACGCAGAGUUACUGCUUGGCCAGGUUCUAAUGCCUGGGAUUGACAAAAACCCCUUUGGUUAGAGGAAUGUAUGUAUUGGAUAUUGGUAUUUUUUGUUCCGUUUGUGUCUGCCAGUUGCUGAAAUACUGAGUUUGCGCAAACAAUAAAGUACUGCAUCAUUAGGGGUAUUUCAUUUAUUUACAGGUGUAUGUAGUACAACAAAAUGCUGGUGACUGAAGCACAGUGAUACUUUUUGGAACUGCCCUUGGGCUCCAUGCUGGAUCCCUCUUAAAUACACUUUCCUCUGCGUUUUGUUCACUAUUUGCUCUUUGUGUACUCUUGAGAAUAAACUGAAUGACAUAA